UUUUUAGUGUAAGUAUGUCCCAUGCACUAUUUGGGACAUACUUAUACUAAAA
rfam:Camelus ferus unplaced genomic scaffold scaffold932, whole genome shotgun sequence.